AUGUUUAUUACAACCAUUAAAGAUACAUUAUAACUGAGAAAUGCGUUUUGAAAGUGUUUGGUCUCGCUACCCACAAUGACGAGAUAAUGCAUUCCCUUCUGAGCGUGAAGCGAAUAGAAAGUGUUGAUUUGAUCAAUUGCUUUUUAUUAUUGAUGACCGUUCCGAUUCUGAAAAGAAUAAGGAGGUAGGGGAUGCGUUCUGAGUGGU